rnacentral:rRNA from 1 species
CGGGGUGCAGCAGGCGCGAAAACUUCACAAUGUGCGAAAGCACGAUGAGGGAAUCCCAAGUGCUUGCACGUAAGUGCAAGCUGUUUCUAUGUCUAAAACACAUAGAGAGUAAGGGCUGGGUAAGACGGGUGCCAGCCGCCGCGGUAAUACCCGCAGCCCAAGUGGUGGCCGCUAUUAUUGGGCCUAAAACGUCCGUAGCCGGUUUAAUAAAUGCCUGGGUAAAUUGCAUAGCUUAACUAUACGAAUUCCGGGUAGACUGAUAAACUUGAGACCGGGGGAAGUUAGAGGUACUCCUGGGGUAGAGGUGAAAUUCUGUAAUCCUAGGGGGACCACCGGUGGCGAAGGCGUCUGACUAAAACGGGUCUGACGGUGAGGGACGAAGCCCUGGGGCGCAAACGGGAUUAGAUACCCCGGUAGUCAAGGGUGUAAACGCUGCUUGCUUGAUGUUAGUCGGGCUUCGAGCCCGAUUAGUGUCGGAGAGAAGUUGUUAAGCAAGCUGCCUGGGAAGUACGGCCGCAAGACUGAAACUUAAAGGAAUUGGCGGGGGAGCAC